UGGGGAAUAUUGGACAAUGGGGGGAACCCUGAUCCAGCCAUGCCGCGUGUGUGAAGAAGGCCUUAUGGUUGUAAAGCACUUUAAGCAGUGAAGAAUACAUCAUGGCUAAUAUCCGUGAUGAAUGACAUUAGCUGCAGAAUAAGCACCGGCUAACUCUGUGCCAGCAGCCGCGGUAAUACAGAGGGUGCGAGCGUUAAUCGGAAUUACUGGGCGUAAAGCGAGCGUAGGUGGUUUAUUAAGUCAGAUGUGAAAUCCCUGGGCUUAACCUAGGAACUGCAUCUGAUACUGACAAACUAGAGUAGGUGAGAGGAAAGUAGAAUUCCAGGUGUAGCGGUGAAAUGCGUAGAGAUCUGGAGGAAUACCGAUGGCGAAGGCAGCUUUCUGGCAUCAUACUGACACUGAGGUUCGAAAGCGUGGGUAGCAAACAGGAUUAGAUACCCUGGUAGUCCACGCCGUAAACGAUGUCUACCAGUCGUUGGGUCUUUUAAAGACUUAGUGACGCAGUUAACGCGAUAAGUAGACCGCCUGGGGAGUACGGCCGCAAGGUUA
rnacentral:rRNA from 1 species